rnacentral:lncRNA from 1 species
UCGGCCCCGACACGGCUUGGGUAGCUCCCUGCCUUAAGGGAAGAAAGACUAAGAUUUGGAUGUAUAAGCAUUCCUCCACUGCAUUGAGCAAAAGCGUCUUAUAACACAGCUUCAGUCUCGAUGAAAGAAAAUGUACCACCAGACAUCUCCGAAAUUGAGGGCAUUGAUGAAGCAUCAUGGUCUGUGCCAAAUCCAAAAGCAUGCACGGGAAUUUGAAAGCCUGAAU